rnacentral:rRNA from 1 species
UGAGGAACAUGACUUUCGGCGGGGGAUAGCCGGCCCAACGGCCGGGUAAUACCGCGUACGACCUUUUGGGGACAUCCCUGAUUGGUGAAAGCAGCAAUGCGCCGAAAGAGUGCCUCGCGGCCUAUCAGCUAGUUGGUGAGGUAACGGCUCACCAAGGCAACGACGGGUAGCUGGUCUGAGAGGAUGGCCAGCCACAUUGGGACUGAGACACGGCCCAGACCUCCGUACGGGGAGGNAGCG